rnacentral:tRNA from 1 species
GCGGAUGUGGCGGAAUCUGGCAGACGCGCUAGGUUCAGGACCUAGUGGGCGCAAGCUCAUGGGGGUUCGAAUCCCCCCAUCCGCACCA